GGGGGUGUAGCUCAUUUGGUAGAGCGUACGGUUCGCAUCCGUAAGGUAGUGAGUUCGACUCUCAUCAUCUCCACCA
rnacentral:tRNA from 1 species